rnacentral:rRNA from 1 species
AUUGUGACCGGUCUACACCGGGAUGUUCAUAACCCUUUGUUGUCCGACUCUGUUGCCUCCGGGGCGACCCUGCCUUCGGGCGGGGGCUCCGGGUGGACACUUCAAACUCUUGCGUAACUUUGCAGUCUGAGUAAACUUAAUUAAUAAAUUAAAACUUUUAACAACGGAUCUCUUGGUUCUGGCAUCGAUGAAGAACGCAGCGAAAUGCGAUAAGUAAUGUGAAUUGCAGAAUUCAGUGAAUCAUCGAAUCUUUGAACGCACAUUGCGCCCCCUGGUAUUCCGGGGGGCAUGCCUGUUCGAGCGUCAUUUCACCACUCAAGCCUCGCUUGGUAUUGGGCAUCGCGGUCCGCCGCGUGCCUCAAAUCGACCGGCUGGGUCUUCUGUCCCCUAAGCGUUGUGGAAACUAUUCGCUAAAGGGUGUUCGGGAGGCUACGCCGUAAAACAACCCCAUUUCUAAGGUUGACCUCGGAUCAGGUAGGGAUACCCGCUGAACUUAAGCAUAUCAAAAGGCGGAGGAA